rnacentral:rRNA from 1 species
GCGAACGCUGGCGGCAGGCCUAACACAUGCAAGUCGAACGCACUCUUCGGAGUUAGUGGCGGACGGGUGAGUAACACGUGGGAACGUGCCUUUAGGUUCGGAAUAACUCAGGGAAACUUGUGCUAAUACCGAAUGUGCCCUUCGGGGGAAAGAUUUAUCGCCUUUAGAGCGGCCCGCGUCUGAUUAGCUAGUUGGUGAGGUAAAGGCUCACCAAGGCGACGAUCAGUAGCUGGUCUGAGAGGAUGAUCAGCCACAUUGGGACUGAGACACGGCCCAAACUCCUACGGGAGGCAGCAGUGGGGAAUCUUGCGCAAUGGGCGAAAGCCUGACGCAGCCAUGCCGCGUGAAUGAUGAAGGUCUUAGGAUUGUAAAAUUCUUUCACCGGGGACGAUAAUGACGGUACCCGGAGAAGAAGCCCCGGCUAACUUCGUG